rnacentral:tRNA from 1 species
GUGUAGCUCAGUUGGUUAAGUGAGCGUGAGAUUUGCACAAUAAGCUCAAGAUCACGGGUUCGAUUCCGAUCCUAAACG